CCUACGGGAGGCAGCAGUGAGGAAUAUUGGUCAAUGGCCGGAAGGCUGAACCAGCCAAGCAGCGUGAAGGACGACGGUGCCAAGCAUUGUAAACUUCUUUUGUCAAGGGACAAAAUCAGUCUCGAGAGCCUGACCGCGGGUACUUGAAGAAAAAGCAUCGGCUAACUCCGUGCCAGCAGCCGCGGUAAUACGGAGGAUGCGAGCGUUAUCCGGAUUUAUUGGGUUUAAAGGGUGCGUAGGCGGACUGUUAAGUCAGCGGUAAAAGCCCGGGGCUAAACCCCGGCGAGCCGUUGAAACUGGUUGUCUUGAGAUGGCGAGAGGUAGGCGGAAUGCGCAGUGUAGCGGUGAAAUGCUUAGAUAUUGCGCAGAACUCCGAUUGCGAAGGCAGCAUACCGGCGGCGAUCUGACGCUGAGGCACGAAAGCGUGGGUAGCGAACAGGAUUAGAUACCCGUGUAGUC
rnacentral:rRNA from 1 species